CGGGACGGGUGGGUAAUGUCUGGGAAACGUGCCUGAUGGAGGGGGGUAACUACUGGAAACGGUAGCUAAUACCGCAUAACGUCGCAAGACCAAAGAGGGGGACCGUUCGGGCCUCUUGCCAUCGGAUGUGCCCAGAUGGGAUUAGCUAGUAGGUGGGGUAACGGCUCACCUAGGCGACGAUCCCUAGCUGGUCUGAGAGGAUGGCCAGCCACACUGGAACUGAGACACGGUCCAG
rnacentral:rRNA from 1 species